UCCUUCUUAGCUCAGUUGGUAGAGCGCGUCACUAGUAUCAGGAGGUAUAAUUAUCAGAUAUGAGGAGGUCAGUCGUUCAAGUCGGCUAAAGGGAA